AUGGGGAAGAAGAAAAAGAUGAAGGUGAAGAUGACGGGCCCGGCAUCGGCUAUCGGCUCGCAAUCAGGGAACUCGUUCUUGCUGAGCCUUGCACCAAGGAGGAGUGCAGGGUGGAGCUGGUUGAAUGGCUCCGCCAAACCCAAGUUUGUGGUGGUGUACCUUGGUCAAGGUGUUGGAUUUAUAGAAGGGUGUAAAGACUUGGACAAUAAAAAGUGCCUCAAGCACAUCUGCAACAACAUGUUACUGCUUAAGUAUCUGAGCCUGAGGAAUACAGACAUAACUGAGCUGCCCCGUCAAAUCAACAACCUCCAUCAGCUGGAAGUACUGGACAUACGGCAAGAGAAAAAUAUUGUGGCUGCAUCCACCUGGGAUGUCGUGCUCCUCAAAAUCAAGCGUCUGGCUGGUAGUCCAACUCCAACUGAUCUUGAAAAUAUUGUUACUGCAUACACCACCAGAGAUGUUCUGCUCCUCAAACUCAAGCGUCUGCUGGCUGGUAGUCCAACUCCAACUAAAAGUGAACACGCCCGGAUUCCUCGAGGGAUAGGGAAAAUGACAAACUUGGAGGUACUAUCCACUGUCAAGGCAUCACAGUAUCGCGAUUUCAAAGACAUUGGCAAACUAUGGCAGCUGAGGAAGCUGGGUGUGGUUCUUGACGACGACAAGCCAGACCACCUCACUUAUUUGCUUGAAGCAAUCGGUGAUCUGAGUGAGUCCCUCCAGUCUCUGUCUAUCACUCUAACCCACAGCAAGGGUGGCCUACCUUGCAACACAGACAUAGAAGAAAACAUUGGAGACAAUUACUCAAACAACCCUCCGAAGCUACUUGAGAGCCUAAGAAUCGACGGAUACACAUGCAAGGGGCAGCUUCUUCCAUGGUUGCUCAAAGAUAACAAGCUACCUGCACUUGUCAAGGUAACUCUGCAAAAUACCUAUCUGAACAAGGGUAAUAUGGAACACCUCGCCGAGCUGGACAACUUGUGCUGUCUCAGGCUUAUGUGCCGCGCCUACACCGACAGCAGGCUCUCCUUCCUUUGUGCUAAAUUCAAAAGGCUCAAGUAUCUUCUCGUUGAGUGUGGCAAGCUUGAUGAGAUCGGCUUUGAUGUUGGAGCAGCUCCUGAGCUCAGCAAGAUCGUCUUGUCCUUCACCAGCAUGGAGGAUUCCCUAUCUCCCUGUCUCUCUGGGAUAAGCAAUCUUAUACAGUUGAAGGAGCUCGAGUUCAACCGCGAUGAAAUCCCAAGACAGGUGAUGCAAGAAAUAGCAAACCAUCCAAACAAGAACCUUGCUCUUAGAAGGAUCAAAGCCAGCCAGGGACAAGAAGCUAGCGCAGCUGCAGCGGCUCCUUGA
rnacentral:rRNA from 1 species